rnacentral:rRNA from 1 species
AUUGAACGCUGGCGGCAGGCUUAACACAUGCAAGUCGAGCGGGGUGAUGGUGCUUGCACUAUCACUUAGCGGCGGACGGGUGAGUAAUGCUUAGGAAUCUGCCUAUUAGUGGGGGACAACAUCUCGAAAGGGAUGCUAAUACCGCAUACGUCCUACGGGAGAAAGCAGGGGAUCACUUGUGACCUUGCGCUAAUAGAUGAGCCUAAGUCGGACUAGCUAGUUGGUGGGGUAAAGGCCUACCAAGGCGACGAUCUGUAGCGGGUCUGAGAGGAUGUUCCGCCACACUGGGACUGAAACACGGCCCAGACUCCUACGGGAGGCAGCAGUGGGGAAUAUUGGACAAUGGGGGGAACCCUGAUCCAGCCAUGCCGCGUGUGUGAAGAAGGCCUUAUGGUUGUAAAGCACUUUAAGCGAGGAGGAGGCUCUUUUGGUUAAUACCCAAGAUGAGUGGACGUUACUCGCAGAAUAAGCACCGGCUAACUCUGUGCCAGCAGCCGCCGUAA